UACGGGGGGGGCAAGCGUUGUUCGGAAUUACUGGGCGUAAAGGGCUCGUAGGUGGCCAACUAAGUCAGACGUGAAAUCCCUCGGCUUAACCGGGGAACUGCGUCUGAUACUGGAUGGCUUGAGUGUGGGAGAGGGAUGCGGAAUUCCAGGUGUAGCGGUGAAAUGCGUAGAUAUCUGGAGGAACACCGGUGGCGAAGGCGGCAACCUGGACCACGACUGACGCUGAGUGAGCGAAAGCCAGGGGAGCAAACGGG
rnacentral:rRNA from 1 species